rnacentral:rRNA from 1 species
AGGGCACCACCAGGAGUGGAGCCUGCGGCUUAAUUUGACUCAACACGGGAAAACUCACCCGGCCCGGACACUGGAAGGAUUGACAGAUUGAGAGCUCUUUCUUGAUUCAGUGGGUGGUGGUGCAUGGCCGUUCUUAGUUGGUGGAGCGAUUUGUCUGGUUAAUUCCGAUAGCGAACGAGACUCUAGCCUACUAAAUAGAUCGUCGGCUUACAAACGCUGAUGAGACUUCUUAGAGGGACAGGCGGCGAUUCAGCCGCACGAAACAGAGCAAUAACAGGUCUGUGAUGCCCUUAGAUGUCCGGGGCCGCACGCGCGCUACACUGAAGUGAUCAGCGUGCAUUUUCAGCCUACUCUGCCAAGAGUGGGAAACCCAAUGAACCUUCUUCGUGAUUGGGAUAGGGAGAUUGUAAUUAUUCUCCUUGAACGAGGAAUUCCCAGUAAGCGCGAGUCAUAAGCCUCGCGUUGAUUACCUUCCCUGCCCUUUGUACCACCGCCCGUCCGCUUACUACCGAUAUGAAA